rnacentral:lncRNA from 1 species
CUAGCCCAUGCCCUCUCUCUCUAGGCAUCCCCUACUGGAUGUAGAAGAGAGGUGGGUGGGAACUCUUUUCUUGGUGUCAAAAGUUGGCGCCAAGAUUAGUUGGUUUCAUCUUUUUCAUCUCAAGUUGUUGGAAGUUAGUUACAACCACUUCUUGUUUGUUAUUCUUCUGAUUAGUUGAGGGAUCAAGAAAGUUUCAUGGUUUCUUCAAGAAUCAAGAAAAAAGAUCAUAAGGAUUCAAGGGUUGAUCCCUAU